rnacentral:tRNA from 1 species
UGCAGGGUAGAGCAGUCCGGUAGCUCGCUAGGCUCAUAUCCUAGAGGCCGGUGGUUCAAAUCCACCCCCUGCAACCA